GGGUUGUGAGGUUAAGCGACCAAGCGUACACGGUGGAUGCCCUGGCAGUCAGAGGCGAUGAAGGACGUGCUAAUCUGCGAUAAGCGCCGGUAAGGUGAUAUGAACCGUUAUAACCGGCGAUUUCCGAAUGGGGAAACCCAGUGUGAUUCGUCACACUAUCAUUAACUGAAUCCAUAGGUUAAUGAGGCGAACCGGGGGAACUGAAACAUCUAAGUACCCCGAGGAAAAGAAAUCAACCGAGAUUCCCCCAGUAGCGGCGAGCGAACGGGGAGGAGCCCAGAGCCUGAAUCAGCAUGUGUGUUAGUGGAAGCGUCUGGAAAGGCGCGCGAUACAGGGUGACAGCCCCGUACACAAAAGCGCAUAUGCUGUGAGCUCGAUGAGUAGGGCGGGACACGUGGUAUCCUGUCUGAAUAUGGGGGGACCAUCCUCCAAGGCUAAAUACUCCUGACUGACCGAUAGUGAACCAGUACCGUGAGGGAAAGGCGAAAAGAACCCCGGCGAGGGGAGUGAAACAGAACCUGAAACCGUGUACGUACAAGCAGUGGGAGCACAGGUUUACCUGUGUGACUGCGUACCUUUUGUAUAAUGGGUCAGCGACUUAUAUUCUGUAGCAAGGUUAACCGCAUAGGGGAGCCGAAGGGAAACCGAGUCUUAAUUGGGCGUUAAGUUGCAGGGUAUAGACCCGAAACCCGGUGAUCUAGCCAUGGGCAGGUUGAAGGUUGGGUAACACUAACUGGAGGACCGAACCGACUAAUGUUGAAAAAUUAGCGGAUGACCUGUGGCUGGGGGUGAAAGGCCAAUCAAACCGGGAGAUAGCUGGUUCUCCCCGAAAGCUAUUUAGGUAGCGCCUCGUGAACUCAUCUCCGGGGGUAGAGCACUGUUUCGGCUAGGGGGCCAUCCCGGCUUACCAACCCGAUGCAAACUGCGAAUACCGGAGAAUGUUAUCACGGGAGACACACGGCGGGUGCUAACGUCCGUCGUGAAGAGGGAAACAACCCAGACCGCCAGCUAAGGUCCCAAAGUCAUGGUUAAGUGGGAAACGAUGUGGGAAGGCCCAGACAGCCAGGAUGUUGGCUUAGAAGCAGCCAUCAUUUAAAGAAAGCGUAAUAGCUCACUGGUCGAGUCGGCCUGCGCGGAAGAUGUAACGGGGCUAAACCAUGCACCGAAGCUGCGGCAGCGAACGUAUCACUUAAAACGAUUCAGAAGCUUACGAUUGACGGAGCGAAGCGACGUCAAAGCGUAUACAAAGUCGAGUCGGUUUAAGGAUACGUUCGUUGGGUAGGGGAGCGUUCUGUAAGCCUGCGAAGGUGGCCUGUGAGGGUUGCUGGAGGUAUCAGAAGUGCGAAUGCUGACAUAAGUAACGAUAAAGCGGGUGAAAAGCCCGCUCGCCGGAAGACCAAGGGUUCCUGUCCAACGUUAAUCGGGGCAGGGUGAGUCGACCCCUAAGGCGAGGCCGAAAGGCGUAGUCGAUGGGAAACGGGUUAAUAUUCCCGUACUUGGUGUUACUGCGAAGGGGGGACGGAGAAGGCUAUGUUGGCCGGGCGACGGUUGUCCCGGUUUAAGCGUGUAGGCUGACUUUCCAGGCAAAUCCGGAGAGUCAAGGCUGAGGCGUGACGACGAGGCACCACGGUGCUGAAGCAACAAAUGCCCUGCUUCCAGGAAAAGCCUCUAAGCAUCAGGUAACAUCAAAUCGUACCCCAAACCGACACAGGUGGUCAGGUAGAGAAUACCAAGGCGCUUGAGAGAACUCGGGUGAAGGAACUAGGCAAAAUGGUGCCGUAACUUCGGGAGAAGGCACGCUGACACGUAGGUGAAGUGAUUUACUCAUGGAGCUGAAGUCAGUCGAAGAUACCAGCUGGCUGCAACUGUUUAUUAAAAACACAGCACUGUGCAAACACGAAAGUGGACGUAUACGGUGUGACGCCUGCCCGGUGCCGGAAGGUUAAUUGAUGGGGUCAGCGCAAGCGAAGCUCCUGAUCGAAGCCCCGGUAAACGGCGGCCGUAACUAUAACGGUCCUAAGGUAGCGAAAUUCCUUGUCGGGUAAGUUCCGACCUGCACGAAUGGCGUAAUGAUGGCCAGGCUGUCUCCACCCGAGACUCAGUGAAAUUGAACUCGCUGUGAAGAUGCAGUGUACCCGCGGCAAGACGGAAAGACCCCGUGAACCUUUACUAUAGCUUGACACUGAACAUUGAGCCUUGAUGUGUAGGAUAGGUGGGAGGCUUUGAAGCGUGGACGCCAGUCUGCGUGGAGCCGGCCUUGAAAUACCACCCUUUAAUGUUUGAUGUUCUAACGUGGACCCGUGAUCCGGGUUGCGGACAGUGUCUGGUGGGUAGUUUGACUGGGGCGGUCUCCUCCUAAAGAGUAACGGAGGAGCACGAAGGUUGGCUAAUCCUGGUCGGACAUCAGGAGGUUAGUGCAAUGGCAUAAGCCAGCUUGACUGCGAGCGUGACGGCGCGAGCAGGUGCGAAAGCAGGUCAUAGUGAUCCGGUGGUUCUGAAUGGAAGGGCCAUCGCUCAACGGAUAAAAGGUACUCCGGGGAUAACAGGCUGAUACCGCCCAAGAGUUCAUAUCGACGGCGGUGUUUGGCACCUCGAUGUCGGCUCAUCACAUCCUGGGGCUGAAGUAGGUCCCAAGGGUAUGGCUGUUCGCCAUUUAAAGUGGUACGCGAGCUGGGUUUAGAACGUCGUGAGACAGUUCGGUCCCUAUCUGCCGUGGGCGCUGGAGAACUGAGGGGGGCUGCUCCUAGUACGAGAGGACCGGAGUGGACGCAUCACUGGUGUUCGGGUUGUCAUGCCAAUGGCACUGCCCGGUAGCUAAAUGCGGAAGAGAUAAGUGCUGAAAGCAUCUAAGCACGAAACUUGCCCCGAGAUGAGUUCUCCCUGAGACUUAGAGUCUCCUGAAGGAACGUUGAAGACGACGACGUUGAUAGGCCGGGUGUGUAAGCGCAGCGAUGCGUUGAGCUAACCGGUACUAAUGAACCGUGAGGCUUAACCUUACAACGCCGAAGCUGUU
rnacentral:rRNA from 1 species